AAUGAUAAAAGAAAAUGUUAACAGUUAGAAUUUAAGUAAUUGUAUUAAUUAAGUGCCUCUUAAAAGUUAGUUGGGAUCUACUUUUUUUAAUUUUACAUGUUUAUUCCCUCCCAAAAAUAUAUUAUUGAGAUCUAAUCCAAAUAAAAAUAGUUAAAUAUCAUUUAUUUAUUUAUUUAUUUAUUUUCAACGGUGUAUGAAGAGAAAAUCUGUCGCCGGUAAUGAUGAAUUGCAAUUAGACUUGCGCAUUUCCAACGCCGACAGCAGAGGGGAACGUAAAAACUAAAACCUUGUUUAAUGAUGCUGUCGGUACCGGAUGCGGCUCACUGUUUUGGCUGCCCCGCCGAGGCCACUCACUCUUCCAACGAGAGAGUCACCAAACGCUGCUGCUGCUGGAGGAGAAGGGAAGAGGAGGAGGAGGAGGAAGAAGAAGAGGUGGUGAAGGGGGCGAGGGGGAGGCAGGGAGGGUGGGAGAGAAGAGGAACGCGUAAUCUCCCAAACAUCCGUUGUUAACCACUUCACCCCCUCUGGAUCCGUGCGGCAAGGUAAGAAAAAAGCCUCCGCGGCUUGGCCCUCUCUGCAUCGUAAAGUGCACAGGCAGGCGGGAGUAGCAACUCCCCUCCUCUCCUCUGCUCUGCUCUGCUCUCCGGGGCUGAGGCUGAGGCUGCUUCCACUGCGGAUAGAGAGCGGAUGGAGGCCGGGCACGGAGCAGGACACCAAGAGGACAUAACAACAAACCUGGCACGGGGCAAACAGUGGAGCGACUUGUGGUUGUUAAGGAGUGGCUGGCACGAGUCGCCCAACCGGGGCAUGUGAGGUGUAAACGAAGAAGCAACGGAGACGGGAACAGCGGAGGUGUCGGGGCGUCGCACGGCGAGCCUCUCUGAUGUUCUGGAUCACUGGGGGGAAGAUGGAAGUUGGACGUCCGUGGGGAGAAGAAAUUGCAUGAAAACAGCACGUCGUUGGUGGAGUCCUUUUUUUUUUAUGGGAGGCGUGUUUUAAGGAGCUCUGUUUCGUCCUCAUGUGGUCCGUCCCAGGGAUGAAAAAUGGCGCGCAGCUGGCUGAGUACUUCCUUCCCCUUGUUGGGGUCAGCAGUUCACCAUGCUGAUAGAGACCCUCACACCUUCUUUAUUAGGAGCUCCUCUGCACUCAGACAAGUUGUUAUUCUGCAUCACUGGACAGCCGUCAGCACUGCCUUUGUCUAGGUUAUCUCUGAUUACAUGACUUCAUCUUUGCAUGAAGAUGAGACUAAGAAAACCUUGACAACACCUUUUCUUUUUUGAAUUACUGUUAACCUUAGCUCCAUCAGAAAGAUUUUGUUUUUACUAGAAAUCUGAACAAGAGCAGGGACGUCUAGAUGUGUGCAUUUAAGAAACAGAGCAAUAUUUGCUUUAUGGAUUUGUUUCUCCCCAUCAAAGGAAACUUAGCAUUCAUUUUCUUACCCAGAAAGCUUUGAGUUGUAGAUGGGAAAUGGUGGCUAACUUUGACUUAAUUUGCAACAGUUUCCAGCUAAAUGAUUGGAAAAACCCUUUUGAAACAGUUUCCAGCCAGUAUCUAGACAUCUGCUCCAUGUGAUUUGUGUAGGCAAAAAAUAAACUGAGGUCAUUGGUGUCCCACCUGGAUUAUACCUCUGAGCUGCCAAGUUAGCCAGUCGAGGUUUAAAUCAUUUAAUUGAAUUUAAGUCACAAUACGUUUCCAAUUUCAGUUCUGUGUUAUGAAUGUAAUAAAAAAAAAAUGUUUUUCAUUCAAUUGUCUUUUGAAAUUGGCCAAACUCACAUGUUCUAAGCCUUUUUUCUUUUUUUUUGGAAAUUCUUUACUUAUUUUUGACAUGUUAUAAAGACACCCGCAGACGUCCAACAUCAGGUUUCAAGAUGCCAUUGCAUGCCAAAGUUAUAUUUUCUUGGGACAUUCCAUACAUUGUAAAUAUGUGCUAGACAUCAUUCACAGAUAGAUGAAAUUGAGUGACAUUAAACUCUUAAUCUUUAGUGUUUUGCAUGAUAUCAGACCAUCUGCAGCUGUAACAACUUCAAAAUCUUCUGUGAAGGCUUUCUAUAAUCUUUAGAAGUGUCUUUUUUUGUUUGUUUUGUUUUGAACAAUUAUCCACAAGAGCUUGGAGUCUCCACUAAUUCAUUCCAAAUCAUUAUCUUCUUGGUUGAGGUCGAGACUGUCUGGUCCUUCCACACCAAACUGGCUCAUCCGUGUCUUUGUGGAUCUUUGUUUUUGUACUGGUGCGCCGCCUCUUCCUGUUCAAACAUGACGGUGCACCAGUUCAGAAAGCAAGAUCCGUGAAAUGGUCAAAAUACAUUUGCCUUGCUGAAGCAAUAAAAGUUGGUUUCACUGAAAAAGUUGUGCCUCAGGAUCCACUAAGACUCACCAAGACUGUGACUUCAUGGCUUAGUUGACAAAUCCUUUCCACUUCCCUAUGAUACCACUGACAGCUGACUACGGAACGAUUGGUAGGCAGGAAAUUUCACAGCUGGACUGGCUGCUUAGGUGGCAUUUCAUCACAAUACACCAGGCUGUAUAAAUAGUAGUAGGAUUAGAAUGGUGAUAAUAAAGGUGUCCAAAGUUUGUAGUUUCUUGUGGUGGACUGCAGUCCUCCCACCGUUCACCAGUAAAUAAGGUAAUAAGAUUCAUGAGAGCCAGAGUCUGAAUAUGUAAAAUCAAAAUCGCAACCUCAACUUGAAUAAUAUUUUCCAGCAAGAACUGCAUCACCCAACUUAGUUGCAAAACACGUUGGAAAAAGUAAGUGAAACUUUAGCUGUGGUGUGUUCAUGCAGGUGCAUUAUGAUUAGGAAUACACAGUAUUAGAUUUUUGGUCGAUAUCCGGCAUGUCGAUAUACUAACUCAUUUGGCCGAUAACCAAUACCAAGUUUUUUCCUAUAAUCACUGAAACUAUAUGGCUUUCUCUAAUGUGGAAUUAAAAUACUGCAUUAUCUUUGACAACUUAACCUGCUACCAAAUGCUAAAAAAAAAAGAGGUUGAAAUUGAUGCAACACUUUCAACUUGUGUUAUGUUUAAUGUCAAAUUUAUUCAUGAUAUUUGACGUCGUGCUGCAGGCAUCAUUGUCCCUGGUUUGUCAUAUAAAAACAACACAUUUUAUGUCGGUGAGUGAUUUUGACAGAAUGGCCGAUGUCCGAUAUUAAACUGUUACAGCCGAUAUCAGCCGGUAAUAUUGUGCAUUUAUGACACACACGUCUACACAAAAAUGGCCUCGACUUUAAACUCAUUCAGACACAUUUUAAUCCAAAAGAAGUUUGGUGGCUUCGAAAAUAUUUAGAAGCUAAAAAUACUUCUGUAAUGAAGUACUUACCUUUUUGCUAAAUUCUCUUAAGGUGGCAAGGAAUGAGGAGGGAAUCCCAGUUUACCAAGAAUCGUUUUGGCUAAUCGAAUACAUUUUCCUUUUCAUCAUUUUAUCACUUCUUUGUAUCUUUUCAACGUAAUGAAAGUUAAUUACAAACUUGCAGCCUUCAAUUAAUGUUCAAAAUUCGACAGUCAAUUUUUGAAUCAGUUUUGAAUCAUUUGUCAACCUGACAAAUUAUUCAGAAUUACAUUUAACACACUCAAUGUGGGUCCUGACUAUGCGAUGGUAGGUAAUGUGUUGACAAUAAAGACAGACUGCCUUGCUGGUUUUGGUCCGACACACUGUUAAUCGACAUUUCUAGGACGAGAUUAAUUAAAGCUUCUGCUUUAUAAACCCGUUGCUGUCCCCUGUGUUGGCUGCGUCGAGCAGAAUGAAUGGACAACAGAGGGCCUAAGUGGUCAAAUUUUAAGUGGACUCAAAAAAAAAAAAAAGGUGCUAAUCAUAAUGCUGAGCUGGCCUUGUUGAACAACUAAUUACCUCCAUUAUGAAGAUGUAGAGGCCUGUUUGGAAGUGUGUAGAUGUGUGUCUAUGCGCAAGCCAGCCUGCUCCGAUUAAGAGGGGGGGAUUAGCCGUCCAUCCUGAGGAAAAGAGGCAACUCGGGGGUACGGGGAUAGAAGAAGAGGGAGGGAAGAGCGGGUGGUGACGGCGGGGGAGGAGGAGAGCGACCCCCCCCUCCUGGAGACGAGCCCUGACCUUCUCAUUUCAUCCUCAUUAGUAUCUCAUGUCAACAGAGCAGCCACUCCUUAAUCAUCUGCUAUCAUCCCAGACCUGCACACACAUGCAUACACACACACACACACACACACACACACACACACACACACACACACACAAAGAAACAGACAAACAGAAAGUUGUCCUUACAGUUACUUUUAGACGCAGGAACUGAAAGGUCCCACAUGGGAUGUUAUUCAGUCUGAAAACUGUAAGUGUUUUCAAUCAAAGUCCUGCCUCUGUGAAGACUAACUUUUAAUUUAUUGUGUUUAUAUUUUAUCUUGUUUAUCAUCGCGUUACACAGAAACAUGUGCGUUACACUUGGGGACCAGGCAGCGGGGUCCAGCGGCAUGGCACAGAGCGACCCUGUCUGUCUGCCUCGGCCCCGGUGCCACGGAGGGCCCCAGCAGGGUCGAGGGGGGGAGUGGGGGGCGAGAGCUCGGGGUGCCAGCACAAAUGAGCUCCAUUCAUUUCCCCACUUCAGCAUAUGGUGGCCCAUUGUCCUCGGCCACAGAGGCAGAAAUGAUGCAAUUUGUUGGCAUGUCCUGUCAUUUUCACAAACUGUCCAACCCACAGAGGGCCCGGCCAGCAGAAGACAAGCAAGGGCAGCUUGUUGUUUUACACAAUACACACACAAACAUGUGUGUGUGCGCGUGUGCGUGUGUGUCUGGGUGUCCUGAUUUCAAUCCAAAGAUAAAAGCAAUAGCACAAAAACAUGACAGACAUAUGUAGUGAUUAGUAGAAAUAUUUCUAAUUUUUCCUCUGAAAAAAACAAAACAAAACAAAAAAAAAAUCAGUUUUAAGCUUCCACAUGUGUGUCAAUCCUUGUUGUGCUCCGUGUCCCAACAAUAGCUUAUCCUUAUUUACCGAAUAAACUCUAAUCUGAUCCAAGACACGAUAGCCUUGAUAUUUGCUUCACAGUUAAGCAGAUGAGCUUCGAUAAAGCAGCUCGAGUGCAAAAACAAGCAAAUAUUCAGCGAUGAAAUUAAAAGUUAAAAGGUGAAAUGGCAGCUCUAUGAGUAAGAGUGAACCGGGCAUGUUCCUGGUUUCACUAUGCCAGGCUGCUGUCAGACAGCCUGGGGAAGGAGUCUCGUUCAACUUCCUCAAAAAAAGUGAACUUUUGACACGACGCACACAACACAGAGCGAGCAGCAGCAGUAAAACAGAAAGAAGCGUCUAGACGUGCCUACAUUUAGCUCAGACGGAGGAAAACAUAUGAUUGCACACUCAUACACCAAAAAUGAUACCGGGUUAUCGGAUGGACAGGGUCAAAUGUCGCUCAUCCUGACAUUUGUGAGUAAGUGUGUGUAAGAAUGGUGCAUCCCGGUGAUGCCAGCCUGCUCUGGCUUUAUGGGUUGAAGGAUGUUUUUCUUAUCGUUUGCUCCCGAGGGCCAGAUUCAUGACUUUUACUGGACCGGGCCGAUUCCUUUUAUUUUUAUUCUUUUGAUUUUAGGUAAACCAACAAACACACUGGUGCAAACUCUUUUCCUUUUAAAUCCCCAUCAGUAAACUCAAUAUCCAGCAGCUUAAAUGAAACCAAGAGCAGAAAAAUAAAUCAGUUAAAAGGGGACUUUCAGACUUUUGCCUUGAAGGGGCCGUGUUAUGUAUUUAGGAUACAUAGUUCCAUUUCAUAGCACAACUGAACAUAGCACAAGCAAUUGUGUUAUGUGCCAUUGUGAAAAUUCUGCAUUUAAAUAACUUAAAAUGAUAUUUUUAUUUCCCAUCUGAUGCCUUGAAAUUAGCUUCUGCCUCUUUAAGAAGCUUCUAACCUUUCAGGCGCUGCCUUCAGGACAUCAUCACACCAGUCCUUCAUGAUGUCAUUUACGACCGUUCUGUGAUAAGCUCUAAAGACUCACAGCUCCACCAGGUGUUUUCUUCUAGAGCUGCUGCCACUAGUUUGAAGGAGCCAAGUGAGGGAGGAUUCCUCAAAUAUGCAUGAGUAAGUCAAAGCUACACUUUGGGUAUGCUUUUGAUGAAGAAGUGACAUUAUAACAAGACUAAAGUCAAAAAAGUUGAUUUUGCAUUUUUGGAUUAUAUUGUUAGCCUUAGCUGUGGAUGUCUACUGCUCCUCUGAUUUUAUAAGAUACCUUUUAGUUGCGUGUAGACUACCAUGUUAAGUUGACAUCCAUGUGUUGGUUGAUUUCCACCAUACUCUUUGGCCAGUUGGUUAGAAUGGGUUUUAUUUCUGGGUAUUAGAGUAAAGGAGAUUGAAUGGAAAUGAUUAGAAUUAUGCAGUACCUAUUAAACAUUCAUGAUAAAUCACAAACAACAAACCUAAAGCGAUAAAUACUUUUUCGAGUUUUCCUGAACUCGAAACUUCCAAAUACUUAAGAUUUUAACCCAAGUGACAUAAUUCACUUUUGUUUAUAUGUCACAUUUAAUAGAUGCCCAUACUGUCAGAUAAUCCAUCUUUGUCCCCACACAAACAUUUAACCAGGCUAGCUGUGGCUCUUGUAAUUCCCAAAUCAUACAUCCCUGACCUCAAUCCUGGCCACACUUCUCUCCAGUUUCCUCGUCCUCCUCCCCCCUCCGUUCUUUCAGCCAGUGGCAACCACGAUCCCUCUUCAUUCUUACCCUUAACCCCAUUUGUACUCUCCACCCCCGCCUUGUCCUCCAAACCUGUCAGGGACCGGCUUCCCAUGUCCAUCACCGGGUGAUGGAUGAGGUGGAAGGUCAUCACCCCACUCUCCAGAGUUUGACGAUCCCAUCAGCCGUCCAGACACCUCCAAAUCAUAGUGGAGCGUGUUAUGGAAAUUAUACACUCUGGAAAAACAACCAGGAAAAUGUUGCCUUUGCGUCGCCACUGGCCUUAGUAAAUAUAGGGAGUCGUCACUGGUGACAGAAAGAAAAUAUUUACAGAGAGAAAUGUUUAAAAUGGAUCUGGCUAUAUACUUUGGCUGUAUGCUGGUAUGGGUUUGCUAUGUUUGGCAAGUCAUUCUGCAUUGUUUUGACCACAAGAACAGGCCUCGAUAAAUAGAUAUGUUAUAUCUUCACACAACAUAUAAUACUUAAUACAAUACCAUGUGUUAGAUUACCAUUCAUUUGUAUUACCAUUGUCUGUAGAUAUUAGUGAUGUAGCAAGAGGAACAGUUGUCAUGUUGGCUAGUUUUACAUGCCAUGUAAAAACUAUCCGUAUUUCUAGAUCUUUUUGACAUUACAAAAUAGAUACAGGUAUGUACAUAUAAAAAUUGUUGCAU